rnacentral:rRNA from 1 species
GAUCCUCGCUCAGGAUGAACGCUAGCUACAGGCUUAACACAUGCAAGUCGAGGGGCAUCAGUUUGGUUUGCUUGCAAACCAAAGCUGGCGACCGGCGCACGGGUGAGUAACACGUAUCCAACCUGCCUCAUACUCGGGGGAUAGCCUUUCGAAAGAAAGAUUAAUAUCCGAUAGCAUAUAUUUCCCGCAUGGGUUUUAUAUUAAAGAAAUUCGGUAUGAGAUGGGGAGUGCGUUCCAUUAGUUUGUUGGG